AGGGUUUGAUCAUGGCUCAGAACGUACGCUGGCGGCACGCCUAACACAUGCAAGUCGAACGAAGUAGCAAUACUUAGUGGCAGACGGGUGAGUAACAUGUGGGUAUCUGCCCUUUGGCCUGGAAUAACACGAGGAAACUUGUGCUAAUACCGGAUAAGUCUUUACGGAGAAAGCUUUAUGCACCAUUGGAUGAGCCUGCACUUGAUUAGUUUGUUGGUGGGGUAAUGGCCUACCAAGACUGUGAUCAAUAGCUGAUUUGAGAGGAUGAUCAGCCACAUUGGGACUGAGACACGGCCCAAACUCCUACGGGAGGCAGCAGUGGGGAAUCUUGCACAAUGGAGGAAACUCUGAUGCAGCGAUGCCGCGUGAGUGAAGAAGGCCUUUGGGUUGUAAAGCUCUUUCGUCGGGGAAGAAAAUGACUGUACCCGAAUAAGAAGGUCCGGCUAACUUCGUGCCAGCAGCCGCGGUAAUACGAAGGGACCUAGCGUAGUUCGGAAUUACUGGGCUUAAAGAGUUCGUAGGUGGUUGAAAAAGUUGGUGGUGAAAUCCCAGAGCUUAACUCUGGAACUGCCAUCAAAACUUUUCAGCUAGAGUUUGAUAGAGGAAAGCAGAAUUUCUAGUGUAGAGGUGAAAUUCGUAGAUAUUAGAAAGAAUACCAAUUGCGAAGGCAGCUUUCUGGAUCAUUACUGGCACUGAGGAACGAAAGCAUGGGUAGCGAAGAGGAUUAGAUACCCUCGUAGUCCAUGCCGUAAACGAUGUGUGUUAGACGUUGGAAAUUUAUUUUCAGUGUCGCAGCGAAAGCGAUAAACACACCGCCUGGGGAGUACGACCGCAAGGUUAAAACUCAAAUGAAUUGACGGGGACCCGCACAAGUAGUGGAGCAUGUGGUUUAAUUCGAAGAUACGCGCAGAACCUUACCAACACUUGACAUGUUCGUCGCGACUUUAAGAGAUUAAAGUUUUCGGUUCGGCCGGACGAAACACAGGUGCUGCAUGGCUGUCGUCAGCUCGUGUCGUGAGAUGUUGGGUUAAGUCCCGCAACGAGCGCAACCCUCACUUUUAGUUGCCAUCAUUUAGUUGGGCACUCUGAAAGAACUGCCAGUGAUAAGCUGGAGGAAGGUGGGGAUGACGUCAAGUCCUCAUGGCCCUUACGUGUUGGGCUACACACGUGCUACAAUGGUAUCUACAACAGGAAGCAAAACGGCGACGUUAAGCAAAUCCUUAAAAGAUACCUCAGUUCGGAUUGCACUCUGCAACUCGAGUGCAUGAAGCUGGAAUUACUAGUAAUCGUGGAUCAGCGUGCCACGGUGAAUGCGUUCCCGGGUCUUGUACACACCGCCCGUCACACCAUGGGAGUUGGUUCUACCUUAAGGCAAGGUUUAAAACCCUUGACCACGGUAUAGUCAGCGACUGGGGUGAAGUCGUAACAAGGUAACCGUA
rnacentral:rRNA from 1 species